GUUCGAGCGUCAUUUCAACCAAUCAAGCCUCGGCUUGGUCUUGGGGUUUGCGGUUCCGCAUCCCCUAAACCCAGUGGCGGUGCGAUUGAGCUCUGAGCGUAGUAAUUCUUCUCGCUAUAGGGUCUCGGUCGUUACUUGCCAGUAACCCCCAAUUUUAUCAGGUUGACCUCGGAUCAGGUAGGGAUACCCGCUGAACUUAA
rnacentral:misc_RNA from 1 species